GAGCAGAGACCAUGUCUGACACGGAAGAGGUGGUGGAAGAGUACGAGGAGGAGUGAGUAUCUGGAGCAUCCUGCCUGAGUGGGGCCCUCUCCCCCCGCUGCCCUGACACUUGGUCCAGGAGCCUCCCAGCUGUCCCUAGGAUUCUGGGGAGCAGGAAGAAGCAGCUGUUGAAGAGCAGGAGGAGGCAGCGGAAGAGGAUGCUGAAGCAGAGGCUGAGACUGAGGAGACCAGGGCAGAAGAUGAAGAAGAAGAGGAAGAGAAGGAGGCUGAAGAUGGCCCAAUGGAGGAGUCCAAACCAAAG
rnacentral:sRNA from 1 species